rnacentral:rRNA from 1 species
GACAAACGCUGGCGGCGUGCCUAACACAUGCAAGUCGAGCGCGAAAGGGACUUCGGUCCCGAGUAGAGCGGCGAACGGGUGAGUAACACGUGGGCAACCUGCCUCAAGGACUGGGAUAACUCCGUGAAAACGGGGCUAAUACCGGGCGAUGUCGUCGAGCGCAAGCUCGCCGACCAAAUGGUAGCUUCGGCCUCCGCCUUGAGAUGGGCCCGCGUCCUAUCAGCUAGUUGGUGAGGUAACGGCUCACCAAGGCUUCGACGGGUAGCUGGUCUGAGAGGAUGAUCAGCCACACUGGGACUGAGAUACGGCCCAGACUCCUACGGGUGGCAG